rnacentral:ncRNA from 2 species
ACACUCCGCCCCGCUUUGGGUGUCCCGCCACCGCGGGAUGAAACGGGAAACCGGUGCGCCUGGCCGUGCAAACGCACGUGCCGGCAAUUCCGGUGCUGCCCCCGCAACGGUAAGCAAGUUCCGCCGGUCCAGACGCCACUGCGCGAUGCGCGGGAAGGCGGGCCGGCCGAUGCCACGGCAUCGCUUGCGAGUCCGGAGACCGGCCCGAUGCGGGACGCUCGC